rnacentral:rRNA from 1 species
GACGAACGCUGGCGGCGUGCUUAACACAUGCAAGUCGAACGGAAAGGCCCUGCUUUUGUGGGGUGCUCGAGUGGCGAACGGGUGAGUAACACGUGAGUAACCUGCCCUUGACUUUGGGAUAACUUCAGGAAACUGGGGCUAAUACCGGAUAGCAGCUCCUGCUGCAUGGUGAGGGUUGGAAAGUUUCGGCGGUUGGGGAUGGACUCGCGGCUUAUCAGCUUGUUGGUGGGGUAGUGGCUGACCAAGGCUUUGACGGGUAGCCGGCCUGAGAGGGUGACCGGCCACAUUGGGACUGAGAUACGGCGCAGACUCGUACGGGAGACAGCAGGGGGGAAUAUUGCACAAUGGGCGGAAGCCUGAUGCAGCAACGCCGCGUGCGGGAUGACGGCCUUCGGGUUGUAAACCGCUUUCGCCUGUGACGAAGCGUGAGUGACGGUAAUGGGUAAAGAAGCACCGGCUAACUACGUG